CCGGGCUGUGGCGCAGCUGGCUAGUAACCAGCUGCUAUAAAAAUCACUACUGACCGAGAGGUCAUGAGUUCGAAGCCCGGGUCGGGUUAAGCCUCCGACCAUUAAAAAAAAUAAAAUAGCCCUGGCUUGCUGUUGACCUAGCAGCCCCGAAAGACAGUUGCAUCUGUCAAGUAGGGAAAAUUUAGGUACGCUUUAUGCGGGAGGCUAAUUUAACUAAUCUACAACACCAUAAAACUGCUCACGAGGAAAAGAAUGAGGAAGAACAGCCACCAUUGGACGGUGAAGCAACAGCUCCCCCUGUGGCCGGAAUCAUGAAGCUGGAAAGAUGUUAAAAAUGCCUCUGUGUCUGUCUAAAACUGAAUGUUGUUUGUCUGUUGGCAUUGAAUGUUUGCCAUAUAUGUGUUCAUUGUAAUCCGCCCUGAGUCCCCUUCAGGGUGAGAAGGGCGGAAUAUAAAUACUGUAAAUAAAUAAAUAAAUAAAUAAAUAAAUUUACAUGUUUAUUAGCCAAUGUAGGUAGUCAGGGAAUCCAAUUUAGGUGCAUAGAAUCUGUAUGUCCAAUGUCGUUCUUUAUGUAAAAAUGUUGUUCUGUAAAACUUGUUCCAAUACACCCUCUCACUCUGGAAAUUGCAGUAAACACAACCUAUGCCUUAAAGUUAUGGAAAAGUUAUUCAUGUCGUCUGUAAGAAGCUCAAGAGAUGUUGUUCCAUGGAGUUGGUGAUGGAAGUGGAUGACCUCGGAGAAGCAGGAGGGAGGGGAUAAUAAUAGGUCAAUGACAUCACAGAAGUAGAGGUGGGAUAGGCUGAUGACCUCACAGAAGCAGAUAUGGGAUUGGUGGAAGAAUUCUCAGAAGCAAAGGCAGGAUAGACGGAUACUUCAUAGAAUAACGGGUGGGAAUGGUGGAGGACCUCUCUGAAACCAAGACUACAAUCUGUGUGCAGCCUGGUGUCUUUAGCAAGGUGACGCUAACCUGAGAUGCGACAGAUGGGUGAUGGAGUCUUUCAUACGUAGAUGAUGCCCAGGAAGACAGCUGGAUGGAGAUCCCGGGGCCUGGAGUACUGGCGAAAGGUUACCAAAAGGUCUUGAUCAAUGGCAAUCUUCUCCAAAGGGAUUUUUAUAUUGAGAUAUAAAACAGAACAUGUUAAAUACACACAAAAAAGGGUUCGCGGAUACCGAGGGCUCCCAGCGAGGGAACCGGGGAACUAACUAGUAACCGUAAGCAUAAAGUAUUACUUGGCUGAAGUUGUUAUUGUUGAAGAAGGCCAGAAAUGCUUUCCAUCCCUCCAAAAAAGUCUUCAACCACUUUGUUUUUCAAAGUCUGCAUUAAUCUGGCUCUUUGGGCAAGCUCAACAAUAACCCAUUCUUUUUCUGUUGGUGUUCCCAAAUUCCUCGGGAUGAAUUUUCUGCUUUUGAAAGCAGUUCAUCCACAUACAUUCAACGGAAAUAUGUUACCUUCUCACCUGGGAGUAACUACAUGUAAACAUGUCAGAACCAAACACCUUCUGGCAAAUUUCCCUACGAACAUUCAUUCCGGCCCAAUAAAACAACUUCUCCUGCAAUUAACAGCUUGUUCGCCAAGUUUUUGUAGGUUCCUCGGUGGAUCAAAUUAAAACCCUAAUUGGAUCUGAACAUUCCUGGGAUCGUCAAUGGAAGAGGUUUGCCUUAGAGUCACCAAAGGUCAGAAAGAACUUGAAAGCACACAACAACAACGGCAGCAGCAGCUUCCAAAUCUGUCCAGUCCCGAGACCGGUUGGCCAAUCCAGGAGAGAGUGCUUGGGAUGACUCACAAAACCAGAGGAAAGCUUCCCUGAGUCACCCUUUCUGCAGGCUUUUCUCCGCACCUUUUCAGCUCCACCAGAACAAAUCCCAUCAGCAAAAGCUUCAAAGCAACGUCAGCAGAGAACUCCCUUGGAGAGCAUGCAAAUCCAGUAGUCCAAGGACACAAACCAGUUGCCCGGCCCACAUAUCUGCCAACACUUUACAAGGCAAUAACUGGGAAUCAUGUGGCCAAACAACAUUAAAAAAAAAACCCUCAAGGACUUCUUUCCCAUCCUUUACCGUGAUAACAAUUUACACAUAUCCUAUAAUUGCCCACAUUGGUAGGGACAGCCCCAGUUAACCUUCUAAUGUCCUAUUUUAGCCUGCUAUGGCUUCUAAAUGUGUGUAUAAUAUUCUGGAUGUGUUGUGUAUGCUGGGGCAGGCUAUAGUAAUACAUCUGAAGCUAUCUAUCUAUAUAUAAAAAAGUGAUGGCAUCAGGGCAGCGGACAAAACAACAAAACUACAGCCCCCCUAACCUCGAAAUUUGACAACACAACCCAUCAUCCACGGCUCUAGGUUGAUACAACAAAAAGAAAAGAAAAAUAAAGUCCUAAUUAGAGGGAAGGGAAUAAUUGUUUUUAUCCAAUUGCUGCCAGUUAGAGGGCUAAGCUCUGCCCACUUGGUCUCCUAGCAACCUACUCAGUCCAGGAGACAGGCACAGUUAGGCCUCAGGCCUCUUCCACAAUGCCUAUAAGAUACAGGUUAUCUGAUUUUAACUGGAUUAUAUGGCAGUGUAGACUCAAGGCCCUUCCACAUAGCUAUAUCACCCAUUUAGAAUCUUAUAUUAUCUGCUUUGAACUGGAUUAUCUUGAGUCCACACUGCCAGAUAAUUCACUUCAGUGUGCAUUUUAUACAGCUGUGUAGAAGGGGCAGUUCUAGGCAGAUAAUAUAAGAUUACAAAUAUACAGUAGAGUCUCACUAAUCCAACAUAAACAGUGCCCUCUAUCCUCACCACUUUCACAGUACCUACACAAACAACCAAAUGCAUACUAAACAUAAAGACAACCAUACAACAGACAUUCAAUACCACCACUGCCUCAACAAUUUCUCACCAACACCACCAGACAAUGACACAGCAACGCGUGGCCGGGCACAGCUAGUAUAUAUA